UACGUAGGGUCCGAGCGUUGUCCGGAAUCAUUGGGCGUAAAGCGCGCGUAGGCGGCCCGGUAAGUCCGCUGUAAAAGUCCAGGGCUCAACCCUGGAAAGCCGGUGGAUACUGUCGGGCUAGAGUCCGGAAGAGGAGAGUGGAAUUCCUGGUGUAGCGGUGAAAUGCGCAGAUAUCAGGAAGAACACCUAUGGCGAAGGCAGCUCUCUGAGACGGUACUGACGCUGAGACGCGAAAGCGUGGGGAGCGAACAGG
rnacentral:rRNA from 1 species